AUCCAUCUGACGAGUUAAAAAUAGGACGAAACUCGCGUCCUGGAU
rnacentral:hammerhead_ribozyme from 1 species